rnacentral:antisense_RNA from 1 species
GUGGGAGCGAGCCUGCUCGCGAUAGCGGUCUGCUAUUCAACAACUAUGGUGACUGAUACACAGCUAUCGCGAGCAGGCUCGCUCCUAC